UACAUGUCGAUGUGCUUGUUGCCGCUCUACAUGAUUAAGAGUAUAAACUUUACCCGCUCCAA
rnacentral:sRNA from 1 species